GGGCGCGGCGGGGCGGGGGCGCCGAGUCCAAGGGCACCGGCGGUUUGUGGGCCCGGGAGGGGAGCUGGGGCCCAGCCCAGGCGGCGGGAGAGAGGGCGAGUCGGAUUCAGGAAGUUGUGUCUCUGACAUCAGGGGCAGGACGGAGUUGGAGUGAAACCUCAAAAAAUGCGAGGCGUGGCCCGCGGGAGGGCAGAGAACGCAGAGGGUGCCUUCCUCCAGGCGAGCGGCAGGUACGCGCGGCGCCCGGCCCCCGCUGACCCCUCCACUCGGCACCUGGCUCCGCGGGGGGGGCGGCCUUCCUCACUGGGACCUUGACCUCACCCGGGACCCCGCCGCUGUCAGACCCGCCACGCGCGCGCGCGGGAGACGGAGACCCCCUUUCCCCCGGGCGCCUGCAGGAAGCCCUCGGGGGGACUGAAAGGCAGCAAGAGGAAAAUCAACAGCCAGUUCUUUGAAGGGCGAUCCCCAGGGCCACAGACCAGCUCAGGUUUCUGACUUUUCCACCCGCAUUGGCCUGAGCCAUCUGAGCAGAACACCACCUGGGAACGUGAGCGGACCUCAACGUAGCUGAGUUCCAAAACGAACCUCACACAAACACAACAUUUCUUUCUUGGGGCAACUCCCAAGGGGCCACGGCAGUGUCCAAACCAAAUCCUGGCCCCUGGCAAGAGACUUACCCCAACAAUCGUAAGCAAGCUGCCUCAUGGAGCUUGUUGCUAAGAAAUGAAAGAAACCCUAAUCAUUGCUGUAUUUCUUGGUCAAAUGGUAGAUUGUUUCUAAGCCAUCGCAGGCUUGCCUUUGCUCUUAACUGUCUACAGUGUCUUCCUCCUAGGAUGUUUUUCAGUUGACUUUUAUUCGCCUCAAACACACUCCUGAUUUCAAAGCUGGUUAGGCUUAAGAAAAGCCCAUCAGGAGCUUCUUUAGUUUUCCAAGCAAGUCCUAAAAGAAAAUUGGCAGGAGAGAGGGGAAAAAUGUAACAGCAAUAAGGAUGGUUGCGUGUUAUAAUACUUUCAGUCUUCAAAUUGUCCUGAGAACACAGGACACGGGUUUUGAGGUCGGUGCAGAGGCUGGGGGUUAAAGUCAGUGGAAGAAGCCGUGGAAACUGCGAAGUUCCAUUAGCUGUCGUGUUAUGGGCACAGGAGACACACAGUGGGCAUGCUGUGUCUUAACCCGCACGACAUGUGACUCUGGCUGUCGUAAACAGAGAAGAGAAUGGUUUAGUACAAGUCAGGAGCUUGCUUUUCUCUCCCCGACCCAAGUGAGGCCCUGAGUCUCUAUUCUUCUGGUCCUGGUUUCCUAAUUCUGGCACCUUCUGUAGCUCCACCAGGGGGACAAAGUAUGGGCUUUCAGAAGCCCUUCUGCUCAAAAAGCCCUGGCCAUAGCCUAGAGGCUCCAUCGGGCCACCCACGCACAGUGGCCUAAAAUCCCCCAGGCACUCACAGUGGGCAAAGUCCCCUUCCCGGUGACAUGGGACUGGGAGAGAACAAAUGUACAGGGAACCAUU